rnacentral:rRNA from 1 species
CGCGGCCUAUCAGCUUGUUGGUGAGGUAAUGGCUCACCAAGGCGACGACGGGUAGCCGGCCUGAGAGGGUGACCGGCCACACUGGGACUGAGACACGGCCCAGACUCCUACGGGAGGCAGCAGUGGGGAAUAUUGCACAAUGGGCGAAAGCCUGAUGCAGCGACGCCGCGUGAGGGAUGACGGCCUUCGGGUUGUAAACCUCUUUCAGCAGGGAAGAAGCGAAAGUGACGGUACCUGCAGAAGAAGCGCCGGCUAACUACGUGCCAGCAGCCGCGGUAAUACGUAGGGCGCAAGCGUUGUCUGGAAUUAUUGGGCGUAAAGAGCUCGUAGGCGGUUUGUCGCGUCUGCUGUGAAAGCCCGGGGCUCAACCCCGGGUCUGCAGUGGGUACGGGCAGACUAGAGUGCAGUAGGGGAGACUGGAAUUCCUGGUGUAGCGGUGAAAUGCGCAGAUAUCAGGAGGAACACCAAUGGCGAAGGCAGGUCUCUGGGCUGUAACUGACGCUGAGGAGCGAAAGCAUGGGGAGCGAACAGGAUUAGAUACCCUGGUAGUCCAUGCCGUAAACGUUGGGCACUAGGUGUGGGGGACAUUCCACGUUUUCCGCGCCGUAGCUAACGCAUUAAGUGCCCCGCCUGGGGAGUACGG